AGUGUGGUGGCCGAGUGGUUAAGGCGUUGGACUUAAGUUCGUUGGCAUGGGUUCGAACCCCAUCCGCACUA
rnacentral:tRNA from 1 species